AGUGAACGCUGGCGGUAGGCCUAACACAUGCAAGUCGAACGGCAGCACAGGAGAGCUUGCUCUCUGGGUGGCGAGUGGCGGACGGGUGAGGAAUACAUCGGAUUCUGCCCAGUCGUGGGGGAUAACGUAGGGAAACUUACGCUAAUACCGCAUACGACCUUCGGGUGAAAGAGGGGGAUCGCAAGACCUCUCGCGAUUGGAUGAGCCGAUGUCGGAUUAGCUAGUUGGCGGGGUAAUGGCCCACCAAGGCGACGAUCCGUAGCUGGUCUGAGAGGAUGAUCAGCCACACUGGAACUGAGACACGGUCCAGACUCCUACGGGAGGCAGCAGUGGGGAAUAUUGGACAAUGGGCGCAAGCCUGAUCCAGCCAUACCGCGUGGGUGAAGAAGGCCUUCGGGUUGUAAAGCCCUUUUGUUGGGAAAGAAAUCUUUCAGGCUAAUACCCUGGGAGGAUGACGGUACCCAAAGAAUAAGCACCGGCUAACUUCGUG
rnacentral:rRNA from 1 species